AACGAACGCUGGCGGCAUGCCUAACACAUGCAAGUCGAACGAGACCUUCGGGUCUAGUGGCGCACGGGUGCGUAACGCGUGGGAAUCUGCCCUUGGGUUCGGAAUAACAGUUAGAAAUGACUGCUAAUACCGGAUGAUGACGUAAGUCCAAAGAUUUAUCGCCCAAGGAUGAGCCCGCGUAGGAUUAGCUUGUUGGUGAGGUAAAAGCUCACCAAGGCGACGAUCCUUAGCUGGUCUGAGAGGAUGAUCAGCCACACUGGGACUGAGACACGGCCCAGACUCCUACGGGAGGCAGCAGUGGGGAAUAUUGGACAAUGGGCGAAAGCCUGAUCCAGCAAUGCCGCGUGAGUGAUGAAGGCCCUAGGGUUGUAAAGCUCUUUUACCCGGGAUGAUAAUGACAGUACCGGGAGAAUAAGCCCCGGCUAACUCCGUGCCAGCAGCCGCCGUAAUAC
rnacentral:rRNA from 1 species